GGAGUUUGGGCCGUGUCUCAGUCCCAAUGUGGCCGGUCGCCCUCUCAGGCCGGCUACAGAUCGUCGCUUUGGUGGGCCGUUACCCCGCCAACUGGCUAAUCUGACGCGGAGCCAUCUCUAUCCACCGGAGUUUUUCUACACUGCACCAUGCGAUGCUGUGCGCUUAUGCGGUAUUAGCAGUCAUUUCUAACUGUUAUCCCCCAGAUAAAGGCAGGUUCUCCACGCGUUACUCACCCGUCCGCCACUAACUUGCCCGGGCGGAAACUUCGUAUGCAAGCAUCUUCCGUUUCCAAUUGGACAAGUCCGUUCGACUUGCAUGUGUUAAGCACGCCGCCAGCGUUCAUC
rnacentral:rRNA from 1 species